GACGAACGCUGGCGGCGUGCCUAAUACAUGCAAGUUGAGCGAUGAAGAUUGGUGCUUGCACCAAUUUGAAGAGCAGCGAACGGGUGAGUAACGCGUGGGGAAUCUGCCUUUGAGCGGGGGACAACAUUUGGAAACGAAUGCUAAUACCGCAUAAUAACUUUAAACAUAAGUUUUAAGUUUGAAAGAUGCAAUUGCAUCACUCAAAGAUGAUCCCGCGUUGUAUUAGCUAGUUGGUGAGGUAAAGGCUCACCAAGGCGAUGAUACAUAGCCGACCUGAGAGGGUGAUCGGCCACAUUGGGACUGAGACACGGCCCAAACGCCUACGGGAGGCAGCAGUAGGGAAUCUUCGGCAAUGGACGAAAGUCUGACCGAGCAACGCCGCGUGAGUGAAGAAGGGUUUCGGAUCGGAAAACUCUGUUGGUAGAGAAGAACGUUGGUGAGAGUGGAAAGCUCAUCAAGUGACGGUAACUACCCAGAAAGGGACGGCUAACUACGUG
rnacentral:rRNA from 1 species